rnacentral:rRNA from 1 species
AUUGAACGCUGGCGGAAUGCUUUACACAUGCAAGUCGAACGGCAGCACGGGGGCAACCCUGGUGGCGAGUGGCGAACGGGUGAGUAAUACAUCGGAACGUGCCCGGUCGUGGGGGAUAACGUAGCGAAAGUUACGCUAAUACCGCAUACGAUCUGAGGAUGAAAGCGGGGGACCUUCGGGCCUCGCGCGAUCGGAGCGGCCGAUGUCAGAUUAGGUAGUUGGUGGGGUAAAGGCCUACAAAGCCGACGAUCUGUAGCUGGUCUGAGAGGACGACCAGCCACACUGGGACUGAGACACGGCCGAGACUCCUACGGGAGGCAGCAGUGGGGAAUUUUGGACAAUGGGCGCAAGCCUGAUCCAGCCAUUCCGCGUGCAGGACGAAGGCCUUCGGGUUGUAAACUGCUUUUGUAUGGAACGAAAAGGCUCUGGCUAAUACCUGGGGCUCAUGACGGUACCGUAAGAAUAAGCACCGGCUAACUACGUG